rnacentral:rRNA from 1 species
GGCUCAGGACGAACGCUGGCGGCGUGCCUAACACAUGCAAGUCGAACGGAGAUAUGAUAUCGGUUGUAUCUUAGUGGCGAACGGGUGAGUAACGCGUGAGCAACCUGACCUUCAGAGGGGGAUAACACCUGGAAACAAGUGCUAAUACCGCAUAAGACCACGACCCGACAUCGGGAUGAGGUCAAAGGAGCAAUCCGCUGAGGGAGGGGCUCGCGUCCCAUUAGAUAGAUGGCGGGGUAACGGCCCACCAUGUCGACGAUGGGUAGCCGAGCUGAGAGGCUGAUCGGCCACACUGGAACUGAGACACGGUCCAGACUCCUACGGGAGGCAGCAGUGGGGAAUAUUGGGCAAUGGGCGAAAGCCUGACCCAGCAACGCCGCGUGAGGGAAGAAGGCCUUCGGGUUGUAAACCUCUGUCUUUGGUGACGAAACAAAUGACGGUAGCCAAAGAGGAAGCCCCGGCUAACUACGUGCCAGCAGCCGCGGUAAUACGUAGGGGGCGAGCGUUGUCCGGAAUUACUGGGCGUAAAGGGUGCGUAGGUGGCCUUUUAAGUUGGAUGUGAAAUCCCCGGGCUUAACUUGGGUGGUGCAUCUAAUACUGGAGGGCUAGAGUGCAGGAGAGGGAAGCGGAAUUCCUAGUGUAGCGGUGAAAUGCGUAGAUAUUAGGAGGAACACCAGUGGCGAAGGCGGCUUUCUGGACUGUAACUGACACUGGGGCACGAAAGCGUGGGGAGCAAACAGGAUUAGAUACCCUGGUAGUCCACGCUGUAAACGAUGAAUACUAGGUGUAGGGGGUAUCAACUCCCCCUGUGCCGGAGCUAACGCAAUAAGUAUUCCGCCUGGGGAGUAC